rnacentral:rRNA from 1 species
GACGAACGCUGGCGGCGUGCCUAACACAUGCAAGUCGAACGGAAAGGCCCUGCUUUUGUGGGGUGCUCGAUUGGCGAACGGGUGAGUAACACGCGAGUAACCUGCCCUUGACUUUCGGAUAACUUCAGGAAACUGGGGCUAAUACCGGAUAGGAGCUCCUGCUGCAUGGUGGGGGUUGGUAAGUUUCGGCCGUUGGGGAUGGACUCGCGGCUUAUCCGCUUGUUUGUGAGGUAGUGGCUUACAAAGUUUUUGACGGGUAGCCGGCCUGAGCGGGUGACCGGCCACAUUGGGACUGCGAGACGGCCCAGUCUGCUACGUGAGGCAGCAGUGGGGAGUAUUGCACAAUGGGCGGAAGCCUGAUGCAGCAACGCCGCGUGCGUGAAGACGGCCUUCGAGUUGUAAACCGCUGUCGCCGGUGACGAAGCGUGAUUGACGGUAAUGGGUAAGAAAGCACCGGCUAACUACGUG